GGCUUCAUACUUCAGUUAUUUAGAGGGUCGUACCGCCAUCGCGAGGCCAUGGGUUCAAACCCCCUUGAAGCCC
rnacentral:tRNA from 1 species